GGGGAUUUAGCUCAGUGGUAGAGCGCUUGCCUAGCAAGCGCAAGGCCCUGGGUUCGGUCCUCAGCCCCG
rfam:Rattus norvegicus chromosome 7, whole genome shotgun sequence.